GACGAACGCUGGCGGCGUGCUUAACACAUGCAAGUCGAACGGAAAGGCCCGGCUUUUGUGGGGUGCUCGAGUGGCGAACGGGGGAGUAACACGUGAGUAACCUCCCCUUGACUUUGGGAGAACUUCAGGAAACUGGGGCUAAUACCGGAUAGGAGCUCUUGCUCCAUGGGGGGGGUUGGAAAGAUUCGGCGGUUGGGGAUGGACUCGCGGCUUACCAGCUUGUUGGUGAGGUAGGGGCUUACCAAGGCUUUGACGGGUAGCCGGCCUGAGAGGGUGACCGGCCACAUUGGGCCUGCGAUACGCACCAGACUCCUACGGGCCGCAGUAGUCGGGAAUAUUGCACAAUGGGCGGAAGCCUGAUGCAGCAACGCCGCGUGCGUGAUGACGGCCUUCGGGUUGUAAACCGCUUUCGCCUGUGACGAAGCGUGAGUGACGGUAAUGGGUAAAGAAGCACCGGCUAACUACGUG
rnacentral:rRNA from 1 species